AGCAGGGAAGAGAAACAAGUGGGUCUAAAAGGUGUACGAAUGGGAACAUGAAGAAAAUCAACUAUAAUGCCUCCUCUCGUAUUGGAGGGAGAAAUGGUCUGAUGUUUUUGAUGCCUCCCAUUCCUAUGGAUCUUAGGUUCUCCUUCCUCUUACUUUUUGCU
rnacentral:pre_miRNA from 1 species